UUUUUGAUUAUUUAAUAAAAAGUGUUUUCUGCUCAAUGAUUUUUUUAAAUAGCCGCGGUAAUUUGACCGUGCAAAGGUAGCAUAAUCAUUUGCCCUAUAAUUGAGGGCUAGAAUGAAUGGGAUUACAAGAUUUUUGCUUUAUUUUUAAAAAAUAAAUAAUUUUCUUUUUUAGUGAAGAAGCUAUAAUUUUGAUAAGGGACAAGAAGACCCUUUUGAGCUUUAUUAUUUUGAUUUUUUUUAAUAGUUUUGAUAAUUUGGUUGGGGCGACCGAGGAAGAAGAGAUCUUCCUUUUAAUAAUUUUGAUCUGUUGUUUUCGAAUGAAAAAAUAAGCUACCUAAGGGAUAACAGCGUAAUUUUUUUUGUGAGUUCUUAUUAAAAAGAAAGAUUGCGACCUCGAUGUUGACUUAUAAUUUCCUUUUGGUGUAGCCGCUAAGUUGGUAGGUCUGUUCGACCUUUAAAAUUUUACGUGAGUUGAGUUCAGACCGGCGUGA
rnacentral:rRNA from 5 species